UCAUCGGAAGGUGGACGCCGUCCAGCUCACAUCAUUCUCACCUUCUGCGUAUAUUCUCAUUCCGCCUACAUCCUGUUUUCAUUUUCUCUUCAAGCAUCAAUCCAGGAGAAAAGUCACAUCCUCAGACGCAGGUCGUCGCCAUGACCCUGAAGGGAGGACCGUGCUUCCUUCUGCUCAUCGUUGCCUGUGCAGUCCUGGCUACACCUUCAGACGCAAGGGGAAAAAAUAAACUCCAGUACAAGAACGCUGUCCAAAAAAUGAUAAUGAAGUGCCGUGAAAAAGAUUACGCCAAACCUCAGAAGCCUCUUUUGGAAACCAUCUUCAGUGAAAACGACAUGCCGAUCGAGGGCAGAGACGGCGACCAAGCAGAAACUCUCCUCUCCUCUUUUCUUGACGUCUUGAAUCCUGAGGGAAAGAAGAAGGCCCCAGCUGGUCGACCGACCCGACCCCCCAUGGAGGAUCCAAAAAAACCGACGAGCAAAGCGUUGAAGUGCCGUCACCUUUCAGCAAUGCUCAAGAAAAUGAGAAACACCACAGAGGAAACUGCGUGUUACUUGCGUGCCUUUAUUUCCCCUGUGGCCUACAAGGCUUGGAAUGAAAAUUGUAAGGAUGAAAUCAGCCCAGAUGAGUAUGACGCUCUACUGUGGGGCGCCGAACCUCUGCUGGAGGAAAGUCCAUCUGCCAGGAUGAACCUCCCCACCCAGCUGGAUGCACAGAAGAUGAAACCGACGUUAAAGACGCUGCUGCGCGUGUACGACUCCAUGGCCGACAGCGAAAGGAGCUUUGUGGCAAAGUGGGCAAAGGAUCAGAUAACCCAGAACACUUUCAACUGCACCAUGAAGGCUUCGUCUGACCCAAGCUCACGAAAGAAGAAACUGUGCAAGGCGCCGCAGAAGCAGCUGAGCCUCGAGGUGUUGACCGUGAUGGGAGCCUUCAUGUCCCACAUGAGCACAGAGGACAUCAGCUCAUCUCGCAAAGAAAAGAUGUGUGAUUUUUUCCGGUCGGGACUCUUAGGCAUCAUAAAGGGAGCAACACCCACCAAGUGCAAAUGGUUCCUCAAGAGAUACCGAGCCUGCUUCAGCGAGAAGGAGUUUCUGGAGCAUCUGGAUAAGCUCGGUCCGCUGACCUGCUGUCUCAGUGAGCUUCCAGAUUUGCCUCCAGAUGUCAGCAGAAAAGUUCUCUCUCAGCUUGAACGCUGCGACGGCUCCAUGACCAAAAACCUGAGGAAGCGCCUGGUCAAGCUCUACAUGCUGUCAAACUCGAAAAAUGCUCAAGCACUGCAGAACCUGGGCAAGAACGCAAAGUUUCUGGAAGCCAAACAAUUCCUGGAGCUCAAUUCCGACACUCUCAAAGAGAUUGUGAAAAACCAGAGAGUCCAGUGGACAGAAAACCAGCAAUGCAUGCUGGUCAAAAAACAGCUGGGGGAGAAGUGUGAUGAGAUGUCAAACAUGGAGCUGAAAGAUGUUCAGUCGCUUGCAAAAGCUCUGCCGGUCUGCAUCCUGAAGCGCUUGAAAGUUGAGAAGAUCCUGAAGGACUCAGAAGUCCUGAAGAACAUCAGCGGGACAAUGAGACGGGGUCAGCUGAAGGCCAUGCUGCAGAAGUUACCGCCGGAUGUGCUGAAGAACAUGAUGAUGCCUCGGCGUUUGGCCUGCGCCGUGUCCCUCAGCAGUCUGAAGAAGGCAAACAUCACCUCUCUGGAACUGGCGGAGAACAGAACCUGGUGCCGGUCACAGGCAGCUUAUCUGGCAAAGAUGAUUAAGAAUGAAAAGCAAGUCAAUUUCAGGAAGCUGCGCUCCAUCCUUGGAGGAUUCUCCUGUGAGAUGAUUGAGAAGGCUGAAGACAUAAAGGAGCUGGCUCAGGCCAUGGCCGAGGCUCCACAGUGGCUCUCCAAAACACAGGUCAGAUGUGCCGCCCGAAAGCUGUUUGCCACUCUCGAGAAUAAGGGAAAAGAUUAUUUUAAGAACAUCACUGAAGAGGAGCUCAAUGAUAUUCCCACCGAAUUCCUUCUUCACCUGCCGCCUCCAGACGUGAGGGAUUUGCCUGACUGGGUGUGCCCCACGUUCCUGGAAAAGCUGGAAAAGGCCAGCCUGAGCCUGUUACCUCUGCGUUCCUGGACCCGCCCGGCGCUGAUCAACAGGGCUCUGCGCUGCAUGGCUGAUGAGUCGGAUUUGUCUGUUCUGACCAUUCCCGACAUCUCCACCCUCGGGCCGCUGAUAUGCGACUUUCCGCCCGCCAAACUGGCCCUCUUGGCCCCUGACGUCCUCAGAGCCACUCUCCAGACGAUGGCCGACUGCGAGCACAUCCCCAAACGCCACCUGGAAGCGCUGAUUUGGCUGGUCAAGCAGACCUUUGGAGAUCCGUCAAACUGGACUCCUGACAUAAUCGAGUUGAUAGGCUCUAUUUUACUGCUGGACAUCGACUCCGUAUCUGCGCUGCCUAAAAAACCCUUGUUGAAGGAUACUUUAUAUUUCCUGAUGUCAAAGAGGCGUCAGGUUUCAAACGCUCUGAGGAAGAAAUGGUUCGAACUGGCCACUGAAGCCUCGUCGGAGACGACAGCCGAUUCCGACAGCGCUGAGUCAAACGGUCAGAAGGUCCCCAUUAAACCCACUGAGCGGCUGAUCGAAGAGGUGGAAAUGAGCACCUGCUACUGGAGCCCCUCGCAGCUGGAAGCCAUCUCAAAGGAAACCUUCCAGAACACCGUGGAGACGCUCGGCACCUGUUCUAGCUACAGCGCCGAGCAGCUGGAAGUGCUUCGUAGAAAAGCAGUCGAGGCGUUUGGCUCAGUGAAACAAAUGGCCGGGUGUCAGCUUAUGAAGCUGGGAUGUAUCACCCAGGGCUUCUCUGAAGCCGAUCUGGAGAUGCUCCCCUUCUCCAUCGACUCUCUGGAGGAAAUCUCCAAAUGCGCCUGGACUGAAUCACAGAUGAAGUCGGUGUGGAGGGGCGUCGCUCAGCGGAACAACCUGAAAGCGCCGGACCUGGGCCCUGCGGAGAUGGUGGCCCUGAACCGCUUCAUAUGUGGUCUGAACAGCAGCGAGAUCCAGCAGCUCAGCAAGGAGGCCUUCAAAGACGCCGUGGGCUCCAUGAACGGCCUCAACUGUGCCCCAAAGAUCAUGCAGCGCAUCAAAAGAGUUGCCGUGGCUGCAUUUGGAGCCCCCAGCAGCUGGGACGACUCAGAAACCAAUGAGCUGAGCAACAUCGUCCCUAUGCUGGACGGGUCUGAGCUGGCUUCUCUGGUUUCUUCUGCCUUCUCCUUCAUCGACGAGACAGUGAUCCCACGAAUUCCCCCGGGCAGCUUGAAAGCGCUCUCUGAGGAUCAGCUAAAGUCUUUUGGGCCUGACAACGCUGAAGUGGUCACCAGCGCUCAGCUGGGGGAGCUGAGCGUCGCUCAGCGCGCCGCCCUGGACGCGGCCGCCACCGGAUCCCACAGCGCGUCACAAACCCCCGAGAACUCCAGUCAGGUCUCAGGUGAAAAGUCAGGAGCUCCGUCUCUGGAUGUGGAGGGGGUCUUGGCCCUGACGAAGCCCUUCCUGUUCCUCUGCAUGGGCUUCCUGCUUCUCUAAAUACACCAUCAUCAAAUCCACCUGCAGGAGCUUUCGUCGUCUGAAAAGUUAUCAUAAAGCACUUUAAAAUAGACACAAUACCUGCAAACGAAUUAAUGCUAAAAAAAAAAAAAAAAACAUGAAAUGAUCGUCGGCAUCUUAUGUUUGAUUGAUGGAGUGCAGCUGCAGGACAAAUCAUAAUCAGACGCUCCAGUAAGACGUGUCAAAGUUUAGACCUGCUUCAAGAUUUCCGUUAGACGUAUACAAUGUGUACAAGUGUAUUUUAGUGGCACACAGAUGACUGUGUAACGAUCUGAUGCUAUCUGAAUGGGUUUGUGGUGUAGAAAACAUUUGCUAUGCACUGAUGCAGGAGGAGAAUAUAUAUUUGAUUCAAUAAAGAGUAAUAUAUUACAAGUUACUGUGGAAAUGUUGGAUGUGGAAACUGAAGUGUUUCGCAUUGCUACAGCUGAGGAGCAUUCAGUCGGAUCAAUAAUGACAUUAGGAUCAAUCAUUUUCAAACUUUCAGCUCCUGUUUACCUGAUUAAUGCUGAACCAACCCGACCUCAAUAUUAGGACACUGUCAAACAGUACAAACCUUCACAAACCUUUUUAUUUUCAGCAGUGAAUAAACAACAAAAAGCCCAGAAAUGAACAAAAGUACGGAUGCUUUACUAGCAGUAAAUUAAAAAGCGAGGUUUAGAAAAACAUGUUUGCAUACCAAAAGUUUUAUUUAUUUUCAGCUCUUUUAGAGUAAACAAACACAGUAUGAUUCACUAACAAAUGGAUUUCAGAGUCUGAUCACAAUAAAUAAUAUACAUGAGCGCUUGUGGCAAACCAUUUCCAACAACACAGAAUCCACGUUUAAACCGUGAAGUCCUCAUUCUGUCACCAGGCUCUGGUUCAUGCUCAUAGGAAAGCUGACGUGGAUCAUUGAUGGAAGUUAACCGAGUUGUGCGACUAAAUGAACGCUAACCAGACGCUGCAAGUUCAAGUUGGGAAUCAAUCCGAUUCCUGUAACCUGCUGUGAAAAAGAGCUGGCAAUGAUUCACAGGUAUGCUUGAGGAAAGUGGAUAAUCGUGUUUUACAGUACUGCAACGAUUCUCAAGAAAACACGGAAACAAACAGUCAGCAGGACAAAAAACAAAAAACAAAAAAAAAAAACGCCUGAAGCCAGACGAGGUUUCUGGA